rnacentral:tRNA from 1 species
GUAUUGGUGAUUUAGUGGUAGAAUUCUCGCCUUCCAUGUGGAAGACCUGGGUUCAAUCCCCAGCCCGUGCA